CCUACGGGAGGCAGCAGUGAGGAAUAUUGGUCAAUGGGCGCGAGCCUGAACCAGCCAAGUAGCGUGAAGGAUGACUGCCCUACGGGUUGUAAACUUCUUUUAUAAAGGAAUAAAGUGAGGCACGUGUGCCUUUGUGUAUGUACUUUAUGAAUAAGGAUCGGCUAACUCCGUGCCAGCAGCCGCGGUAAUACGGAGGAUCCGAGCGUUAUCCGGAUUGAUUGGGUUUAAAGGGAGCGUAGAUGGGUUGUUAAGUCAGUUGUGAAAGUUUGCGGCUCCACCGUAAAAUUGCAAUUGUUACUGGCAGUCUUGCGUACAGUUGAGGUCGGCGGAAUUCGUUGUGUAGCGGUGCAAUGCUUAGAUAUCACG
rnacentral:rRNA from 1 species